GACGUAGGGCGCGAGCGUUGUCCGGAUUUAUUGGGCGUAAAGAGCUCGUAGGCGGCUUGUCACGUCGGGUGUGAAAGCCCGGGGCUUAACCCCGGGUCUGCAUUCGAUACGGGCUAGCUAGAGUGUGGUAGGGGAGAUCGGAAUUCCUGGUGUAGCGGUGAAAUGCGCAGAUAUCGGGAGGAACACCAGCGGCGAAGGCGGCACUCUGGGCUGGUACUGACGCUGAGGAGCGAAAGCGUGGGUAGCGAACAGG
rnacentral:rRNA from 1 species